CUGGAGAUGGGCAGAAGCAAGAAAAGCCAAGAAAGAGAGAAGGAAAAGGAAAAGGAGAGAGAGAGAGAGAAGGAGAAGAAAAGGAAGUGGGUCUUCAAGCUUGGAUUCUCCAUUUCUUCAUUGAUUUAGAGAGGUGGGUGUAAGUAGGAUGAGUUAUCUUUUUGAGUUUAUGAAAAUUUUCUAAAAUUUAAGGUUUAGCAAAAUUAAUGAUUGUUGAUAUAUGUUUGAGGCAUUAAAAACAACAAUAAUAUUAGUGUCGAAAGGAAGGAAAUGUGAAAUGGAUUUGUAAAUUAGAGUUCCAAUCUUUGAAUUAUUUUGUUUACACUUGAUUUAUGAUGAAUUAGAGUGGUAAAAAAAAAAUUUAGGUUAGAUUUUGGUAUUUAUAAUAAAUUUUCGAGCAAAAUUCAUGUGCGGGUGCUAUUCAUGAAAUUCUGCCCAGAAAAGUGCCAUUUCUGUCAAUGGUUUUGAUGCCAGAUUUUAAUAUGCAGAAAUUGGUGCCAGGUUUCAAUUUUUUGGGAUUUUAGUGCUGUUUUUGACAAAACUCUUAUUUUUCAGAUUUUUAAAGGCUUCAAUGAAGUUAUAUGACGUGUAUUGAGGUUUAUGUAUUGGAAUAAAUUAUGUAUAGGGCUUGUAUAUGUAUAAGUUAAUGAAUUUAAGGAAGUGUGGGUAAUUUAAUAGAUUUGAUAAUGCAUGGUGUUUAGUCGAUGAAUUAAUAAAGAGAAUAAAAGUUGGGGAUUGGAGAUGUAAGAGUAAAUAUAGAAGUUGAGGAGUUAAGUGGUGGAAUUGUAUUGAUUUAAUUGUUAAGUUUCAAUUUGAGUAAUUAUUAUUCCGUUAUUCAGGUAGUGACGUGAAAACUUGAAAAGACUCGUCAAUUUAGUCAGAUUUCUAUCCAUAAAUCUGUGAAUGAAAAAAAUAUAAAUAUUUUUAAAGUAUUUAUAAAUUAAGUAUAUUGUUAAAAUAUGUGCAAUUAUGUGCUCGAAUUAUAUGUUUAUUAUGGAAAUAUCUUUUAUUAUGAUAUAUGUGAGAUUUUAAAGAUUGUAUACGGUACAUUGUGAAUUGGAAUAUGAGACAUGAUUUUGAGAUCGACCAGAAAAGUACCCGUGAUUAUAUAUUUCUUCUAGUUCUCUAAGAGGUCUUGGCCGUGUUCUAUACUACACUGAGGGGUCUUGAACCGGGGAUGAAGGGGUCUCGACCGUGUACAUAUAGUUCACUAAAGGGCCUUGACCGUGUUCAAGAAUUGAUUAUGAGAUGUGUUUGAGACCAGCUUUCGUUCACGGAGGGGGCCAAAGGCCCGUGGAGAAAGUUCUUAACCCGAGGAGCGGAUUACAUAUUUCAGUCAAAGGGUACAUUUUUGGUGAAUUUUUCAGUAUGUUUGAUGUGAUGAGAUUAUAGCGUGUUAUCAGCUGAUAUUUAUAUCAUGAUUUUGAGAUGAUAUUUUACGACCUUAUGUGAAUAUUUCACUUUUGGUUAUAAUUACAUGAUGUUAUCUUAUGAAAUAUUAAAUGAUAUGAACUCGAUUUUCGAUAGAAAUGUAAAAUUGAAAAAGUAUAAUUAUUUUCGAACUUCUCCACCCACUGAACUAUCAACUCAUAUAUUUUUCCACGAUUUUUCCUACAGGUAGCAGUUGAUUCUUUUUAGCUGGAAGAACCUAAUGAUUUUGGAAUGAGAGCCACACGGCAUGUUGAAUAUUAUAACUCAUAUUGAUGAAACAUGAAGUAAAUUUUAUGAGCCCAUCGCAUUAUAUUUUAUAUAAGUAUUUGAUUUUGUUGCAUUUUUUUUGAAGUAACUCAUGUUAGCCUUGGUGAUAGAUUUGACAUCUAGUCAGCAUCUAUCAUCGGCGCAUGUCUCAUCUCGGGUCCACUAGGGUGAUUCGGGACGGGUCGUGUCACUAAAGGACAAUAUUUAGAAAUGGAUCGUUGCAUGGAUUGUGAUAUCCCAUUUGCUGAAGAUUGGAUAAAAGUUAGAGAUAUUUGUAAACUUGUUCAAAAUGUAUAUAAUGCUGCAGAAGUUCUUUUCGAGACAAAACAUGAUAGUGCAGGCAUCUAUGUUCACAAAUGUCUAGAAUUACAAGCAAGUUUUAUAGAAGAAUCCAGAAAUUCAGAUAAAUUUGUUAGAAUCAUAGCUCGGAAGACGCUAAAGAAGUUUGAGAAGUACUGGAAGAACAUGUUCCUUGUACUAACCGCUGUUACAGUUUUGAAGCCUUA
rnacentral:lncRNA from 1 species